GUGGCGGACGGGUGAGUAACGCGUAAAGAACUUGCCUUACAGACUGGGACAACAUUUGGAAACGAAUGCUAAUACCGGAUAUUAUGACUGAGUCGCAUGAUUUGGUUAUGAAAGCUAUAUGCGCUGUGAGAGAGCUUUGCGUCCCAUUAGUUAGUUGGUGAGGUAACGGCUCACCAAGACGAUGAUGGGUAGCCGGCCUGAGAGGGUGAACGGCCACAAGGGGACUGAGACACGGCCCUUACUCCUACGGGAGGCAGCAGUGGGGAAUAUUGGACAAUGGACCAAAAGUCUGAUCCAGCAAUUCUGUGUGCACGAUGAAGUUUUUCGGAAUGUAAAAGUGCUUUCAGUUGGGAAAGAAGUCAGUGACGGUACCAACAGAAGAAGCGACGGCUAAAUACGUGCCAGCAGCCGCGGUAAUACGUAUGUCGCAAGCGUUAUCCGGAUUUAUUGGGGUUAAAGCGCGUCUAGGCGGUUUAGUAAGUCUGAUGUGAAAAUGCGGGGCUCAACCCCGUAUUGCGUUUGGAAACUGCUAAAACUAGAGUACUGGAGAGGUAGGCGGAACUACAAGUGUAGAGGUGAAAUUCGUAGAUAUUUGUAGGAAUGCCGAUGGGGAAGCCAGCCUACUGGACAGAUACUGACGCUAAAGCGCGAAAGCGUGGGUAGCAAACAGGAUUAGAUACCCUGGUAGUCCACGCCGUAAACGAUGAUUACUAGGUGUUGGGGGUCGAACCUCAGCGCCCAAGCUAACGCGAUAAGUAAUCCGCCUGGGGAGUACGUACGCAAGUAUGAAACUCAAAGGAAUUGACGGGGACCCGCACAAGCGGUGGAGCAUGUGGUUUAAUUCGACGCAACGCGAGGAACCUUACCAGCGUUUGACAUCCCAAGAAGUUAACAGAGAUGUUUUUCGUGCCUCUUCGGAGGAACUUGGUGACAGGUGGUGCAUGGCUUGUCGUCAGCUCGUGUCGUGAGAUGUUGGGUUAAGUCCCGCAACGAGCGCAACCCCUUUCGUAUGUUACCAUCAUUAAGUUGGGGACUCAUGCGAGACUGCCUGCGAUGAGCAGGAGGAAGGUGGGGAUGACGUCAAGUCAUCAUGCCCCUUAUACGCUGGGCUACACACGUGCUACAAUGGGUAGUACAGAGAGCUGCAAACCUGCGAGGGUAAGCUAAUCUCAUAAAACUAUUCUUAGUUCGGAUUGUACUCUGCAACUCGAGUACAUGAAGUUGGAAUCGCUAGUAAUCGCAAAUCAGCUAUGUUGCGGUGAAUACGUUCUCGGGUCUUGUACACACCGCCCGUCACACCACGAGAGUUGGUUGCACCUGAAGUAACAGGCCUAACCCGUAAGGAGGGA
rnacentral:rRNA from 1 species